AACCACGUCUCAAGAUUCACCGUUUAUGUUUUUAGGUUCAUGUUUAACCUGGAUUGAACCUUUAAAGGGAGACUGUUUUUUAACCUGUACUCUAUUAUUAUUAUUAUUAUUUUAUUCAUUUAUUAUGCAAUGUUGACUGGAACAAACACUGGUAAACAAGCUACAUAACGUUAGAGUAAGCUAAAAUCACUCAGAUUAAAUCUCUUCUUGUCACCAAUGAACUAGCAAAAACGUCAUUCUAAGUGUCUGGUAGCAAAGAGAGAAUCCCUAUUUGCCACUUACCUUAGCCUCCAGUCCAUUUGGUGGUGCUGCUCUCCACUUAGGCAUUACAAGUCACUUGCAGAUGAGGAGCUCUGGCCAACAGAAUGAGCCCUUCAUCAACAAUCAACUUGUAAUGCCUUGGUGGAGAGCAACACCACUGAAUGGACUGGAGGCUGAGGUAAGCAGCUAACUGUAUUAUCUGUCCUUUUAAAAAGUUUCUUUACAUUGACUGUGGUGCAUGUUUACUUCUGUAAGGAUCCUCGCCACACUACCAGACAUGUCUAAUGACCAAACCAUCUCAAAAUAGAGCAAAGGUUGAAAAAUGUUGGUGUUCCCCCUUUAAGUGUUCACAGUGCUCCAUUUCACAAGAUGAGAUUUAAACUAGUAUCUCACUGGGCUGCAACUGUUGGCGAGUAGUUGGAGACACAAAUUUGUGAGAAAAUAUGCAAAUUAGCAUCAAUUUUCACUUGAACCACACAGACCUAUAUUUGCAAUUUUGUUGCACUCCCAGGGAUCUCAGGGUGGUUCGUGCCUGUCUCACCCAUUCUCAUUUUUGUCUCCAAUCAGUCACACUUUAGUUUUAUAGGUCACCAACCCCAACCCCUCACAAAGUUCUCUCGCAUUUCAUGCACUUUUCGGAAGCAAAAUUGAAAAGGGUUCAAGAUGCCUGCAACGACUGACUAUUUUGAAAGAAUUUUUAUUUUUACACAAAUUCUUUGAACAUGUUCAAAAUUCCAGUGACAAGGCGGAGGGGGGGGGAGCACUGAAACUCACGUGAGGUAACUGAGAACCCCCUCGCAAACGUUUCGAGGCAUUGUGGAAAAAUCUCCUGUGAAUGCCGUUCUCAAUUUUUCGCUAGCAAUUGCAGCCUAGUGAGAUACUCGCUUUAGUACACCACAAUAUUUUAGAUGGAUAAAUUAUUAAUUCCACAGGAUUACAGUUGGCUGAAUCUUAAAUGGAUGAUUGCAUAAACUUUUUUUGUGAUUUUCUGACACUACUGGACAUUUGACAAAAUGUGCCCAGUCAAGGCAAAUGCUUCAAAUACUUGAGUCUUUUCAGAACUAAAAUGACUUCAGUGAUUCCAGAACACCAAAAGUGAGGAAAAACUUAAACUCCUUAUGUCAGUGUGUCCUACAGGUGUUCGUCUUUUUCCAUCACGAAUAGGUAGCUGGAAUAAAUUCCUGACAUUUGCUGAGUCAAACCACUACGAUGUGAUAAACACUUAUUCUUAAUAAUGCCAGUGAGGCAGCAUGAUGGCGCAAACGGUUAGUAUGCCUGCAUCCAAAAAAGAGGGUCCCAGGUUCAAGGCUACACAUUCCUGUUCCCCUUGUAUAACUGGAGUAGCAUCAGGAAGAGCAUCCAGCAUAAAAUGGCAUAACCCCCGAGCAAAAUGAGUUUUGCCAAAAGAAAUUAUUAAUAAUAAUACUCAGUACCCUGUGUUCUACACUGUGUACAACAGCACAGAGCGCAGCAUCGUUGCUAGUUUCUACAAUCAUGCAGCAGCAGAAAGUGGCCGCUCCGUCGAUCACCAAAAGAGUUUCCUUGCUAUUUAUAUAAUGGAAUAUUCAGAUGCACCUUACAUUAGCAGGCAAAUGAUGAGCACUAUGUGCGCUACACAUCAUCAAGCUAAUGCCAUCACUUUGGACAUAAACAGACUUCCGUAGUUUACCGCAAGUGCAAAGGAUCUCGCUCUUUAGGAAUGAAUCAAGCAACUCAUAUCAGUCAAGGUAAAAUCUCAACAGCAAAUUCAGAUUGCUAGCUGCAUUCUUGGAAUCAUGACCAAUCCUCUGUUUUAAUUAUUGAGAAAAAGUCAUUCUGAAUGGUUACACAAAUGUUCAAAGAUGAACAACAGGAGAUAAUAGAAAAAU